GAUGAACGCUGGCGGCGUGCUUAACACAUGCAAGUCGAACGGGAAACCUUUUAUUGAAGCUUCGGCAGAUUUAGCUGGUUUCUAGUGGCGGACGGGUGAGUAACGCGUGGGUAACCUGCCUUAUACAGGGGGAUAACAGUCAGAAAUGGCUGCUAAUACCGCAUAAGCGCACAGAGCUGCAUGGCUCAGUGUGAAAAACUCCGGUGGUAUAAGAUGGACCCGCGUUGGAUUAGCUGGUUGGUGGGGUAACGGCCCACCAAGGCGACGAUCCAUAGCCAGCCUGAGAGGGUGAACGGCCACAUUGGGACUGAGACACGGCCCAGACUCCUACGGGAGGCAGCAGUGGGGAAUAUUGCACAAUGGGGGAAACCCUGAUGCAGCGACGCCGCGUGAAGGAAGAAGUAUCUCGGUAUGUAAACUUCUAUCAGCAGGGAAGAUAAUGACGGUACCUGACUAAGAAGCCCCGGCUAACUACGUG
rnacentral:rRNA from 1 species